CAGACAAACAUACAUGUGGCUGAGGAUUGGAGGGAUUUUUCUCUAAACUUGCUGAAAUAGACAAGACCAACUUUCUACAGAUGUUAGAAACAACAGCGAUUUUGUUUUUCAUCAUUUUUCUCUACUAACUUUUUGGGAUGAGACAGCAUUACUUCUCUCCCGAAAUGAGAUGAUGGCUGUAAUGGAGAACUCAACUGGCGCUGUUCCCUAUGAAUGGGAAUACUAUUAUGAUUAUUUUGACGUGAUUGUGGAUGAGAGCAAGCUGAAAUAUAAUAAAUACUCAAUUGUUAUAAUAUUUUGGAUAAUUCUGGCUGCUUUUGUGGGAUUCCUCUUUCUCAGUUUGAAUCUAAUGUCUUGCAGUGGAAACUUGGCAAGGAGUCACAGAUCCACAAUCAAAGAAGGUCACAGAACAUCAACUGCUUGACCUGAGGCUGAAUGAGAGCAAUUUUUAUGGAUGUGAACAAAAAUGUUAAAAAUUGAGGUGAUGGACACAAAUUCAAAAUCUGAAUGAUGAAAA